CCAUGCUGUUUCAGGUAGUUUUGUAUUCCGAAGGCACUGAAAAUGACUCUUCCAAACACCAAACAUGCACUCUACUAGACCCCUGGUGCAUAUAUGAGCUUGGAUAUAGCACCUUUGAUUAGGUGUAACUGGGUACAAGCAUUGUGUAAACAAAAAUUUCCUUCCUUGUACUGAUUUAUACCUUGACUGAGGAAGCAGAUUAAUGUUAGUCUCAAUUAAAAGGCUGUUUAAAUCUAGGACUAGCUUUAAUUUCUGUCUGGGAAACCACCCCUUAGAGUACCACCCUUAUGACUGACAUUAAAAUACAGUAGUAUAAGCCUAUUUAACAACAUAUACAGUUUACAUGAGACAAUUUUAUUUCUUAUAUGAAUGUUAUUUAUAUUAACUGCCAUAAAUAGCCAUAACUGAAACACCCAUAAAGUAACAAUGUGAAUUGCACUGUAUUUCAUGGUGUGACAAGUGACAAUAAUAACAAAUGUAUUGCACUGAAACACUCAGUGAGGUUAUUAACAACUGUACUGCAUUCACAGCUGGUAAAUAUUAAUGAUAACAUGAGCCCUCCUUUGUGUUUCCGGUGCCAACUUGUGAAUUCGGACUUUAGCACCCUCCGUGCAGACUCCAACGCACCUUUUCCAAUCCAGCCCAUUCUCUUGAACAAAUGCAUUCAGGAGCUGGAAAAUGAGUCCAUCUGUAAACAAGCAAAUUGGCCAUAUCUGCAAGAUCUGUAGUCUCAUCAAGCUGAAAGGAAAAAUAGCGACUACCUUCAAUGCAUUCAAUCAGUGUGUUUUUAGCAUCAUCACCCUUCUCCUAUUCACCGCAACACUGUGUCGUUGGAAAGUGUCACCAAGUUCUGCUGUUUGACAGCCUUCUGCCCAAACAUGAUGCAUGUUAACUCUUGGCUAACGGUAGACACAGCUGUUCGCCAAUUGUGUGUUGCUUACCAGCUUUUCCUAGGAAGGAGACUGGCAUGAUAUGAAGCUUCUUGUGCUUUGGCUUUGGGUGUAGCACAAAACUAAAUUGUUGACACGGACUGCUUUAGUUCCUUGCGUUUUCUCAGAAAAAAGUUAACUGCCUUGUCUUUCAGCACUGUGUGCUUGUUUGUAAGAUGUCUGAGAUGUGAUGGUUUCACGCAUUCAUUACUAAGAACAUUGCUGCAUACUAAACGCUGCGGCCUCAUUCCUCCACUUGCAUAGUCUUGUUACCUCCCGCAUUGACUAUUAUAAUUCUCUCUUGCAUGGUCUCCCCCAAAAAUCUCUGUAUAAGCUUCAACUGGUUCAAAACUCUGCUGCCCGGAUUAUUACCAGAACUCCCUCUUACCAGCACAUCACCCCUGUUGUACAGGAACUUCAAUGGCGCCCUGUGAAAUUGCAGAUAGUGUACAAACUUCUUCUGCUCACCUUCAAGGCCCUUCAUAACCUUGCUCCUCCUUACCUUUCUGAUCUGUUAAGCACUACCUCUUCUGCUCACUCACUUUGAUCUUCUUCUUCUAUCCAGCUUGCUGUGCCUUCUUUCCACCUCACCACCAUGGGAAGCAGAGCUUUCAGUAGCUCUGCUCCCAGGCUGUGGAACUCUCUACCCCCAGAUAUAAGAAACACUGCUUCUCUUCCCCAGAUUAAAUCCCUACACAAAACCCAUCUGUUCAAAUAAACUUAAUGUUUAUUUUAUCUUGUACUUUUUUUUUUUUUUUUAUUGUUCUUUGUUGUCUAUUAUUGUUCUAUAAUGUGUUUUAUUCUAUUGUUAAGUGUCUGUGUUUUUUGAGACUGUUUUGUGCUACCAACCUGGUUUCCCCAGUGACUGUGAUUCUGCCCGGGUCUAAUUCAGAGACUGAGUUAGAGGUCUCACGUUACUCUGGACCCCUGGAGGGAGGGGACCCUGUGAGGGACACCUGUCACCAGAGCCUGCUGCGAGCCCUGCACAGCCCCAGCCAGAGCAACCAGAUUUGCCUCUGCUCGUGCCGCCUACACCAGAGUGACGGCAGAGUCGAGCGGGAGGCGCACUGGACCGGAACGGAGUGUUUCCUGUAUGCUGAGCAGUCAAAUAAAAACAUUACUUGUGAACUCAAACACUGUGUGUAUUGCAUUCGUUACAAGUGGUGCCCAAACCCAGGAAGUGGGAUGUCUGACACACACAAUGCGUCACCCGCUCAGCCUGUGCAGUUGUUAGCACAGAUGCUGGCGGACCUGGCAACAAUGUGUCGAGACCAGGCUGUGGCCCAGCGAGAACACCUGAUGAAGCUCCAGGAACACUCAGACCAACAGACCAAGGUCCUGGAGCAAUGGGUUGGGGCCGCUGCGCCACCAAAGUCCCCGCCUCUGUCGGUAGUGAUGUACCGGAUCGUGCGACGGCGGAGGCAUGCCAGUGGCCACAAGCAGAGUGGUCCCCGCGGCUGAUUCCACUACUGUUGGGGGAGGCUCAAACGACAGCCCUGAGCCUGCCGCCGACCUCGCGGGGCAGCUUCGCUGACGUGAGCUGGGCUGUGUUGGACCGGAUGGGCCUCACCCCGGAAGAUCAUCGCCGGUGGUUCCGUGCCUGCAAGCUGACUGGGAAGGAUCGGCCGUUCGCAUGGGCUCGCAAACUCCACGACGCGGCGGUGCAGUGGCUGCAGCUGGGGCAGUCAGCAGGAAAAGCCAAGCUGGUGGACAAAGUCGUGCUGGAGCAGUUUGUGGAGGGGCUGCUGGCGGAGACAGCAAGAUGGGUCCGGUGCCAUAGACCAACCAACCUGGAGGUGGCGGUUAGCUGGCGGAGGAUCACCUGGCCACCAAAGCAGAGGAGCCGGGGGGAGCCAGUCGGCCACCGAGCAAGCAAGCCCCGGUGCCAGCACCGAGGCGACAGGUUCCAGCGACUGCACCAGGAAAAUGGGUCCCUGUGUGGAGUCCUACUAACCUGUUUUCUUCCGCCUUGCCUCCCCAGGGAUCGGAGACAUCCAGCACUGCCCCUGAGCCACGGAGAGCAGCACAGACGGCAGGAGUGCUGGAAGUACGGGUGGCCGGGACACCUGAGGAGGGAUUGUCCUCUGAAGGAAGUGGGGCAGCUGUUCCACGUCGCCGGUGACCAGCACCCUCUCCCGGUCCAGGAGGGACACACAGCAUUCCGGAAGUCUGUAGGGCCGUGAACGCACCGUCACGCCAGGCUGCGUUUCAACAUGGUGCUCUAUGAGAGAUGUACGGCCGGGCAGGGGGGAGAACACAUCAGCAGAGUCCAAGGAAAAAACGGCCUUCUCCACUCCGUACGACUGACGCCUCGAACAGAGGGCUGGGGCCCAUUUUGUCCCAGCAGGUAAGGGGGGUCGACCGGCCCAUGCUCUACAUUACCCGGAAGCUGUCAGAGCGUGAGAGACGGUACAGCACUGUGGAGAAGGAGUGCGUGGCUAUCCGGUGGGCGGUCGACUCCCUUCGCUAUUAUCUCCUGGGGUGCUCAUUCAACCUCUGCUCGGACCAUGCCCAGCUGCAGUGGCUCCACCGUAUGAAGGAUGCCAACACCCGGAUCACCCGGUGGUAUCUGGCUUUGCAGCCCUUUAACUUCAAGGUGGUCCACAGGCCCCUGUGGCCCCAAAUCCUCGCCACAACAUCACCUGGCUGCAAUCCACUCUGCCAAAUUGAUAGACUCACUGCAAUAGAUAAACUUAACUUCAGCUGUUUUUUCCUCAAAGCUAAUGUCACUGGUAAUCUGAACUUGAAUUGAAAGAAAAUCUGAAAUAAUCGAAAUUACUUUUAAUGGAUUUAACUUUGAAAUUUUUGAUUGACUUUAAUUUUUAUUCAUAGUAACCUGAGAUUCAAACCCACAUCUUUUCUUCAUCAGUAUUCUAACAUUCUGUGUUCCUAUGCCUAUGAUGCUCUUCAAGCUCAAACACUGACAUCUUCAUAGCCCUGUCCUUAAUAUUGUCUUAUGUCUAUAUUUUUCUAUAUAUUUCCUUUUUAAGUCGACCCUACUACUAAUACUUCUCAAAAGACUGGAGCUCAAUGGACUAGCCAAAGACCUUACCCUGAGAUAUAAAACUCUGUAUUCAUACACUUUUUCAAUGGGAUUCUAUUAAAUUUUCCUCAAAUAAAGCUUUGACAGCAGUGGUUAUAAAUAUGUCAUCUUGCUAUGUCCUCU